rnacentral:rRNA from 1 species
AGCAUAUCAAUAAGCGGAGGAAAAGAAACCAACAGGGAUUGCCUCAGUAACGGCGAGUGAAGCGGCAACAGCUCAAAUUUGAAAUCUGGCUCCUUUGGGGUCCGAGUUGUAAUUUGGAGAAGAUGCUUCGGGUACGGUCCCGGUCUAAGUUCCUUGGAACAGGACGUCACAGAGGGUGAGAAUCCCGUACGUGGUCGGUGGCCGUGCCCGUGUGAAGCUCUUUCGACGAGUCGAGUUGUUUGGGAAUGCAGCUCAAAAUGGGUGGUAAAUUUCAUCUAAAGCUAAAUAUUGGCCAGAGACCGAUAGCGCACAAGUAGAGUGAUCGAAAGAUGAAAAGCACUUUGGAAAGAGAGUUAAACAGUACGUGAAAUUGUUGAAAGGGAAGCGCUUGCAACCAGACUUGCGCGCGGUCGAUCAUCCUGGGUUCGCCCGGGUGCACUCGGCCGCGCUCAGGCCAGCAUCGGUUCGGGUGGUUGGAUAAAGGCCUCGGGAACGUGGCUCCCCUCGGGGAGUGUUAUAGCCCGAGGUGCAAUGCAGCCUACCUGGACCGAGGACCGCGCUUCGGCUAGGA